rnacentral:lncRNA from 1 species
AAAAAUUGUGAAAUAGUCCCUACGAGUCAAUUGUUGGUAUAUAUUAGGUAAGUUCAUAGAAUAAAUAUACAUAUAUUUUUUAUUUUAUAUUGUAUUAAUAUGUUCUAUUUUAAUUGUAGUUAAUAUGAAAUUUUGUUAAUAAAUAAUAAAUCCUUAAAUAUUGCAAUUUAGUACAAGUGAGAAACAAGUAUUUGAUAAUUAGUGAAGAUUGUGAUUAUUUGUUAUUGAAAUGAGUUUGGUGAAUUUAUAGUACCUGUAUGAAAAUUUUGAGGUGCCUCUAGUUGUUAAUGUUUUAAUUAAAUUAUAAUGCCUGAUUGAAC